rnacentral:lncRNA from 1 species
AUGUUUCUUUUUCUAUGCCGCUUUGCCACUCAAAAUUGGAGGAACUUAGUACAGAAGAGCUGCUUGAGCUUUCAGAGAUUGAGAAACAAAAUCUGGGCCAGGUAAAUUUGUCAUGUAGUUGAGACUCACGUGGAAAAAUAAAUCCAGGAGAGAAAUUUGCUUACAAAUCUUUGUAUUAAUGAUGUCAGAUUCUUUGACUGACUUGUCAAUGACUAGUCUGAUGCUUGAUUCCACGGCUUGUCUCCGUAUGACCUAUAGGUCAUACGGAGACAACUUGACCGAGGCUUCCCUUCAAUUGUCCAAAGUAUUGAGUAUUUGUUUCAUGUUAUGUCUGAGUUUCCUU